rnacentral:rRNA from 1 species
AUUGAACGCUGGCGGCAGGCCUAACACAUGCAAGUCGAGCGGAUGAAGGGAGCUUGCUCCUGGAUUCAGCGGCGGACGGGUGAGUAAUGCCUAGGAAUCUGCCUGGUAGUGGGGGAUAACGUCCGGAAACGGGCGCUAAUACCGCAUACGUCCUGAGGGAGAAAGUGGGGGAUCUUCGGACCUCACGCUAUCAGAUGAGCCUAGGUCGGAUUAGCUAGUUGGUGGGGUAAAGGCCUACCAAGGCGACGAUCCGUAACUGGUCUGAGAGGAUGAUCAGUCACACUGGAACUGAGACACGGUCCAGACUCCUACGGGAGGCAGCAGUGGGGAUAUUGGACAAAGGGCGAAAGCCUGAUCCAGCCAUGCCGCGUGUGUGAAGAAGGUCUUCGGAUUGUAAAGCACUUUAAGUUGGGAGGAAGGGCAGUAAGUUAAUACCUUGCUGUUUUGACGUUACCAACAGAAUAAGCACCGGCUAACUUCGUG